CUAAUAGGCGAGCGCCAAAACAAGGAUUCGGAGGUUUUUAAUGCACCUACCUAACACACGGCUAUAUGAUAUAUCAUUUGAAAGGUCUUUUAUCGUACAUUCAGAAUUGCCUGGUCGUCAAAUUGGGAAAUGGUCACAUUUUUCUAAAAACGGCAAAAAAGGAGAAAAAUAUAAGUCAUAAUUUGACGAUAUUGUUUGAAAAAUGAAGUUUAAAAACAAAUUCA
rnacentral:lncRNA from 1 species